rnacentral:rRNA from 1 species
UGGGGAAUAUUGGGCAAUGGGCGCAAGCCUGACCCAGCGACGCCGCGUGGGUGAUGAAGGCCUUCGGGUUGUAAAACCCUUUCGUGCGGAAAGAACAGCCCUGUAGUUAAUAUCUGCAGGGUUUGACGGUACCGCAGGAAGAAGCACCGGCUAACUCCGUGCCAGCAGCCGCGGUAAUACGGAGGGUGCAAGCGUUGUUCGGAAUUAUUGGGCGUAAAGGGCGCGUAGGUGGUUGUGAUAGUCAGAUGUGAAAUCCUUUGGCUUAACUGAAGAACUGCAUCUGAAACUUCAUAACUCGAGUACAGGAGAGGGAAACGGAAUUCCCGGUGUAGAGGUGAAAUUCGUAGAUAUCGGGAGGAACACCAGUGGCGAAGGCGGUUUCCUGGCCUGAUACUGACACUGAGGCGCGAAAGCGUGGGGAGCAAACAGG